UUUAUAUAUUUUCCCAUGAAUUAAUGGUAUUUGGACAUGAUUUCUUGUUUUGGACGAAUUCUAUGGAAUAUUUUCUCGUAAUUCUUUUUUGUAUGAUCUGUUAGUGUGGACGCAAAGAUUAAUUGUAGUGAUUAUAGUGAACUACAAAAAUUGUUUAUGAGCUGACAAAUGACUAAAAAAAUUGUUCAUUCUGCACAAUUUUGCUAUUAGAUUAAUUUUUGGGCAUCCAAGAAUUCCAACACUAGCUACUUUAUGUCUAGUGCCUAAAUGCUAUUAUCUGUGUUUUUAAAUAUAUUUAUCUUUUGGUUCAGAAAAUGAAAAUUUCUGAGCAUCGAAAAUCGAUGGAAAAUAGACUUCUUCCCCGUCGAGCGGGGUAUACGGAUGAAUUUAUAAGUAGCAUGGAUGAGUUUAUUAAAUUUCUUGUAGUCAGCCUAAGUACUUGUCCGAGGGAGUCAUAAGGUGCCCUUGUAAGCGUUGUAAAAAUAUGAAGCACCUAAAACGCGAUGAAGUUAUUGCGCAUGUUUUUCAAAAAAGGGUUCACGCCAGGAUAUUGGUAUUGGAUAUCGCAUGGAGAGGAAGCACCUCCAAUUGAUUUGAAUGAACAUAUCUAUUCAGGUGCUUCGAGUUGUCAUCAAGGGUAUAACUUUGACAAACCUUCAAGCAGUCAAAGUAAUAUUCCUGAGGAAGACUAUGAACAUGUAAAUAGAUAUUAUAGUAAGAUUUAUGAUGCUGCUGGUGUAGAAUUUGGGCAUCAAUUUGAACCCAAUAUAGAAGAGUCCCCGAAUAUGGAUGCUACCAGGUUUUACAAAAUGUUGAAUUCAGCUCAACAACCUUUAUGGCCUGGAUGUAAAUAUUCAGAGUUGUCUACAGCUGUUAGAAUGAUGAGUAUUAAAUCCGAGUACAAUAUGUCACAAAGCUGUUUUAAUGCAAUGGUACAAUUAAUGAAGGAUACAAGUCUUCCAGAUAAUAAGAUACCUCUAGAUUACUAUCAUGCGAAAAAGCUAGUUUCAGGACUUGGUCUAACUAGUCAAAAAAUUAAUUGUUGUGUUAAUGGAUGUAUGUUGUAUUACAAGGUUGAUACAGAGAUGACAGAAUGUAAGUUUUGUAAAGAACCUCACUACAAAGAACGUGGGCGCAAGAAGGGUAAUAAAAAGGUUCCUCAGAAGACAAUACAUUACUUGCCACUUAUUCCUAGGCUUCAACUUUGAGAAAAGAGCAGCUACAAGAAUGAGCCAACUUUUUCAAGAUACUAGAAAAAAGUUGCCUGUGAGACCAAAUUGGAUGGAGGAUGAUGUAUUCAAACAGAUAAAGGAGUAUUGGGAGUCUCCUGAAUUUAAGUCAAAGUCCGAACAAAACAAAAAGAAUCGUGAUUCAAAUGAAGGUGUCUCAGUUCAUACAAGUGGUUGUAUACCUCAUCGAGUGAUUUGGAAGAGAAUGAAAGAAGCUACUGGAAAAGAAACUUCAAUUGCAUAAUUUUAUUUUCAGAUUCAUCGCACAAAAAAAGAAAAAUAUUGGGUAAAUGAGAAAGCUGAAGCUGCUUAUGAGGUUUUCGCCGUGUGGUUGUUGAUAUUGUGAUGCACGAGCUUUCUGCCGUGCGGCUAUUGUUAUGGGGUUGGACGAGGUUUCUACCGUGCUAUUGCUACUAUUGAUGUAUUGCACAUGCGGCGUGACA